CCUACGAGCGGCAGCAGUGGGGAAUAUUGGACAAUGGGGGCAACCCUGAUCCAGCCAUGCCGCGUGUGUGAAGAAGGCCCUCGGGUUGUAAAGCACUUUCAGUGAGGAAGAACGCCUGGUGGUUAAUACCCAUCAGGAAAGACAUCACUCACAGAAGAAGCACCGGCUAACUCCGUGCCAGCAGCCGCGGUAAUACGGAGGGUGCGAGCGUUAAUCGGAAUUACUGGGCGUAAAGCGCGCGUAGGUGGCUUGAUAAGCCGGUUGUGAAAGCCCCGGGCUCAACCUGGGAACGGCAUCCGGAACUGUCAAGCUAGAGUGCAGGAGAGGAAGGUAGAAUUCCCGGUGUAGCGGUGAAAUGCGUAGAGAUCGGGAGGAAUACCAGUGGCGAAGGCGGCCUUCUGGACUGACACUGACACUGAGGUGCGAAAGCGUGGGUAGCAAACAGGAUUAGAUACCCCUGUAGUC
rnacentral:rRNA from 1 species